rnacentral:rRNA from 1 species
AGGUAAGCUACUAAGAGCGAAUGGUGGAUGCCUUGGUUGGUAGAGGCGAUGAAGGACGUGCUAGACUGCGAUAAGUCUCGGGGAGCUGUCAAGGAGCUUUGAUCCGGGAAUUUCCCAAUGGGGCAACCCAGUUAAUAGUAAUAUUAACUACUAUAUUUUAUAGAGCGAACGUGGGGAAUUGAAACAUCUUAGUACCCACAGGAAAAGAAAUCAAUAGAGAUUACGCUAGUAGCGGCGAGCGAACGCGUAAGAGGGCAAACCACUAGUUUACUAGUGGGGUUGUAGGACUGCAUAAAAGACAAAAACUUGCUAAUAGAAUAACUUGGAAAGGUUAAGCAUAGAGGGUGAUACUCCCGUAUAUGAAAGCAACUUUUUACUUAGCAGUAUCCUGAGUAGGGCGAGACACGUGAAAUCUUGUCUGAAACUGGGUAGACCACUAUCCAACCCUAAAUACUACUACCAAACCGAUAGCGAACAAGUACCGUGAGGGAAAGGUGAAAAGAACGGGGGUGACCCGAGUGAAAUAGAACCUGAAACCAUUUGCUUACAAUCAUUCAGAGCACGAUUCUUUAUGACGUGUGAUGGACUGCCUUUUGCAUAAUGAGCCUGCGAGUUGUGAUGUCUGGCAAGGUUAAGGAUACCCGGAGCCGUAGCGAAAGCGAGUCUUAAUAGGGCGAUAAGUCAGAUGUUGCAGACCCGAAACGAAGUGAUCUAUCCAUGAGCAGGUUGAAACCGGUGUAAGAACCGGUGGAGGACCGAACCCGCUAGCGUUGAAAAGCUAUGGGAUGACUUGUGGAUAGGGGUGAAAGGCCAAUCAAACUUCGUGAUAGCUGGUUCUCUCCGAAAUAUAUUGAGGUAUAGCGUUAUGUAGUAACUAAAGGGGGUAGAGCACUGAAUGGGCUAGGGCAUACACCAAUGUACCAAACCCUAUCAAACUCCGAAUACCUUUAGUGUAAUCAUAGCAGUCAGGCGGCGAGUGAUAAAAUCCGUCGUCAAGAGGGGAACAACCCAGACUACCGACUAAGGUCCCUAAAUCUUAUUUAAGUGGAAAACGAUGUGAAGUUACUUAAACAACCAGGAGGUUGGCUUAGAAGCAGCCAUCCUUUAAAGAUAGCGUAAUAGCUCACUGGUCUAGUGAUUUUGCGCGGAAAAUAUAACGGGGCUAAAAUAAGUACCGAAGUCGUAGGCUUGACUUUUGUCAAGCGGU